rnacentral:rRNA from 1 species
UACGUAGGGGGCUAGCGUUGUCCGGAAUCAUUGGGCGUAAAGAGCGUGUAGGCGGCUAGGUAGGUCCGUUGUGAAAACUCGAGGCUCAACCUCGAGACGCCGAUGGAAACCAUCUAGCUAGAGUCCGGAAGAGGAGAGUGGAAUUCCUGGUGUAGCGGUGAAAUGCGCAGAUAUCAGGAAGAACACCAACGGCGAAGGCAGCUCGCUGGGACGGAACUGACGCUAAGGCGCGAAAGCGUGGGGAGCGAACAGG